UACAGAGGGUGCGAGCGUUUGUCCGGAAUCACUGGGCGUAAAGGGCGCGUAGGUGGUGGCUUAAGCGUGCGGUGAAAGCUCGGGGCUCAACUCCGAGUCGGCCGUGCGAACUGGGCUCACUGGAGCAUAGUAGAGGCAGGUGGAAUUCCGGGUGUAGCGGUGGAAUGCGUAGAGAUCCGGAAGAACACCGGUGGCGAAGGCGGCCUGCUGGGCUAUGGCUGACACUGAGGCGCGACAGCGUGGGGAGCAAACAGG
rnacentral:rRNA from 1 species